UAUUAUGCUUAUAAAAUAUUAUUAGCUAAAUAAUAAAAAUAUAGUUUUGUUAAUCGCAAAUUGUAUUUUGAGUUAUCCAUUGCUUUUGUCUGAUGCAUUGGUAAACAUCAGCCCAGGACAGCCAACAGAUUUAUAUUAGUUGACAGGAGUGAAAUAUGCAGUAGAGGGUACCUGUGUACGACCCAUCUACAGCAGGAUGUCUAUAUCAGCUAUAUACAUUCUUGAUGUUAAAGGAAAGGUACUGAUAUCCCGAAAUUACCGAGGGGAUGUGGACAUGGGGGUCAUUGAGAAGUUCAUGCCUCUCGUUUUGGAGAGGGAGGAUGAUGGCAACAUGGCACCAAUCAUACAGGUAAGAUCUAAUUAUGUGUA